ensembl:lncRNA
AUGGACAAAUUUGAGUGCAUAUAUUUCCUAAUUGAUCUCUCCCAAAUCUCUGUCUCAGAUAACCGGGAGGACCCAGUGCCGCUUGAGAAACAGUCUUCCAGGAUAAGUUUAAAAGGACGGCGAAAGAGCCGACAGACCUUUCUGGCUGAGCAGAGACACAAGCAGAGUCUGGACUGUAGUGCUGCAAACAGGGACGUGAAUGUCGGACUCCCAUCUGAGAAUCACACGUUUUACCAAGCUGCGCCUCCAUUUGAUUCAGCCUGUGGAGGUCCUGUAGAGACGUCUGGACUGGACACAGCAAUCAGCCCUUUAGCUGCCAUGGAGCCUCCUGUAUUUCCAAACGCACCAGUACAGAGCACAUCUGUCGUCGCGGAGGACCAGCAGAAUAUACUACUUGAGGUCCUGAACCAUUGUAGGUUCCUGCAUGCAGCAGUGCAGAGGCUUGAACAGAAGAUUGACAGACAGAUGUCAAAUGAGAGAAGGGCGUCUCUGCGUGUUGAAGAAAGGCAGCUGUCCUGGCCUUUGGCCCAGAGACUUGAUCCACCAGACCAGAGAAACCCACGCUGGAUCCCUCCCUGGAAACGAGGGCUGGACAGGGCAGACCUUCAGCAAGCUGACAACAGCAGCCCUCAGCCGGGCAAACCUCCUGGCGGCGGACGAGGCAGAGGCAGGGGCAGGGGCAGAGGCAGAGGACGGGGGCGACGGGGGCGCGGUAGCGGAUCCCAGCAUCAGUUUCAAACUCCUGAUCCUGCUUCACUCAUGUCAAAGCCCAAUGGAGAAGAGGUCUGCACUGCAUCCACAGAUGACCCACAGCCGCCCCAGGUAAUGAAGGAAUACUCUCUGGCUAACCCAGGCUCAAAGCGUCAGCAGAAAAGAAAGAAAUCCUUUACUCAGGUGGACGGGGAGGGUGUUGAACUGGAGAUGAUGCCCAACAGUAAAGAGGCCACACUUGAGGUUCAGGAUGACAAUAAAGUAAUGAUCGGAAGCCCCUUGAGGAAAGUGUGGAUCCCGCUGUCUGUGUACAAGGAGGUGGUGUUUAAGCAGGUGGAGCCCCAGAAGGCUGUAGUGCCUGUGCUUCACGCGCUCUUCCCCAUCAGCACUCUGUCCUGCAGUGCGGUCACAGGAAACCCUGCAAAAGGCAUCCAGCAACUCGACCCCAACAAAAUAGAAGCCCUUCGAGAGUUUCUUGCGGAGAUGUACCCACAGUUUGACGUCGGUGUGAGGGGCGUGACGUGGGCACAGUGUCUUGGAGUGAUAAACAACAUCAACAAAGACCUAAAGAAACAAGCGGAAAAAACAUCACAUCUGCCAACAGAGGGCGGUUACACAAGAAAUGAUUGUUCAUACUCUUGAGGAUCUGACACUCGUACUCGAUGUGCAACAACGUAACCAGUUUUAUUCACUUCACUGAUACAGUGUUCAUAACUGAAGUGCAAGUCCCUGUUUUGACAACAGCUGUCUUUUGUUCUCUCUUCUAUAGCUGCUAAGUUUCAAUGGAGAGAAAGGUUUUGGAUGUGUAAUAUAUUAACAAUUCUUUUGUUCUUAAUAAAGCCUUAUAUUAACUUUUAAUUUUUGUUUAA